rnacentral:rRNA from 1 species
UACGUAGGCAGCAAGCGUUGUUCGGAGUUACUGGGCGUAAAGGGUGCGUAGGCGGUUGUUUAAGUUUGGUGUGAAAUCUCCCGGCUCAACUGGGAGGGUGCGCCGAAUACUGAAUGACUAGAGUGCGGGAGAGGAGAGUGGAAUUCCUGGUGUAGCGGUGAAAUGCGUAGAUAUCAGGAGGAACACCGGUGGUGUAGACGGCUCUCUGGACCGUAACUGACGCUGAGGCACGAAAGCGUGGGUAGCAAACAGGG